UACGUAGGGGGCAAGCGUUGUCCGGAAUUAUUGGGCGUAAAGAGCGCGUAGGCGGUCCGAUAAGUCGGCUGUGAAAGUCAGGGGCUCAACCCUUGAAAGCCGGCCGAUACUGUCGGACUAGAGUCCGGAAGAGGCAAGUGGAAUUCCCGGUGUAGCGGUGAAAUGCGCAGAUAUCGGGAGGAACACCAAUGGCGAAGGCAGCUUGCUGGGACGGUACUGACGCUGGAGG
rnacentral:rRNA from 1 species